UACGGAGGGUGCAAGCGUUGUCCGGAUUUAUUGGGUUUAAAGGGUGCGUAGGCGGCUAAUUAAGUCAGCGGUGAAAUUCCACAGCUCAACUGUGGAACUGCCAUUGAUACUGGUUGGCUUGAGUACAGAUGAGGUAGGCGGAAUUGACAGUGUAGCGGUGAAAUGCUUAGAUAUUGUCAAGAACACCUAUUGCGAAGGCAGCUUACUAAGCUGUAACUGACGCUGAGGCACGAAAAGCGUGGGGAUCAAACAGG
rnacentral:rRNA from 1 species